AGAGUUUGAUCCUGGCUCAGGACGAACGCUGGCGGCGCGCCUAACACAUGCAAGUCGAACGGAGCUUAGAGAGCUUGCUUUUUAAGCUUAGUGGCGAACGGGUGAGUAACGCGUGAGUAACCUGCCCUAGAGUGGGGGACAACAGUUGGAAACGACUGCUAAUACCGCAUAAGCCCACGGUACCGCAUGGUACUGAGGGAAAAGGAUUUAUUCGCUUUAGGAUGGACUCGCGUCCAAUUAGCUAGUUGGUGAGGUAACGGCCCACCAAGGCGACGAUUGGUAGCCGGACUGAGAGGUUGAACGGCCACAUUGGGACUGAGACACGGCCCAGACUCCUACGGGAGGCAGCAGUGGGGGAUAUUGCACAAUGGGGGAAACCCUGAUGCAGCGACGCCGCGUGGAGGAAGAAGGUCUUCGGAUUGUAAACUCCUGUUGUUGGGGAAGAUAAUGACGGUACCCAACAAGGAAGUGACGGCUAACUACGUGCCAGCAGCCGCGGUAAAACGUAGGUCACAAGCGUUGUCCGGAAUUACUGGGUGUAAAGGGAGCGCAGGCGGGAAGACAAGUUGGAAGUGAAAUCUAUGGGCUCAACCCAUAAACUGCUUUCAAAACUGUUUUUCUUGAGUAGUGCAGAGGUAGGCGGAAUUCCCGGUGUAGCGGUGGAAUGCGUAGAUAUCGGGAGGAACACCAGUGGCGAAGGCGGCCUACUGGGCACCAACUGACGCUGAGGCUCGAAAGUGUGGGUAGCAAACAGGAUUAGAUACCCUGGUAGUCCACACCGUAAACGAUGAUUACUAGGUGUUGGAGGAUUGACCCCUUCAGUGCCGCAGUUAACACAAUAAGUAAUCCACCUGGGGAGUACGACCGCAAGGUUGAAACUCAAAGGAAUUGACGGGGGCCCGCACAAGCAGUGGA
rnacentral:rRNA from 1 species